rnacentral:rRNA from 1 species
GGUGCGGCCACGGCCUAAGUUCCUUGGAACAGGACGUCAUAGAGGGUGAGAAUCCCGUCUUGGGUCGUUGGUCCACGCCCAUGUGAAGCUCCUUCGACGAGUCGAGUUGUUUGGGAAUGCAGCUCUAAGCGGGUGGUAAAUUUCAUCUAAAGCUAAAUAUUGGCCGGAGACCGAUAGCGCACAAGUAGAGUGAUCGAAAGGUUAAAAGCACCUUGAAAAGGGAGUUAAACAGCACGUGAAAUUGUUGAAAGGGAAGCGCUUGCGGCCAGACUCAGGCGCAGGGUUCAGCGGGUGCGUGUCACCCGUGCACUCCCUGCCGCCUGGGCCAGCAUCGGUUCUGACGGCCGGUCAAAGGCCCCCGGAAUGUGUCGUCUCUAGGGACGUCUUAUAGCCGGGGGUGCAAUGCGGCCCGUCGGGACUGAGGAACGCGCUUCGGCUCGGAUGCUGGCAUAAUGGCCGUAAGCGGCCCGUCUUGAAACACGGACCAAGGAGUCUAACAUCCACGCGAGUGUUCGGGUGUCAAACCCGUGCGCGCAGUGAAAGCGAACGGAGGUGGGAGCCUUAGGGCGCACCAUCGACCGAUCCUGAAGUCUUCGGAUGGAUUUGAGUAGGAGCGUGGCCGUUGGGACCCGAAAGAUGGUGAACUAUGCCUGAAUAGGGUGAAGCCAGAGGAAACUCUGGUGGAGGCUCGCAGCGGUUCUGACGUGCAAAUCGAUCGUCAAAUUUGGGCAUAGGGGCGAAAGACUAAUCGAACCAUCUAGUAGCUGGUUCCUGCCGAAGUUUCCCUCAGGAUAGCAGUAACGAAAUUCCAGUUUUAUGAGGUAAAGCGAAUGAUUAGAGGCCUUGGGGUUGAAACAACCUUAACCUAUUCUCAAACUUUAAAUAUGUAAGAAGCCCUUGUUUCUUAAGUGAACGUGGGCACUAGAAUGGAACGUUACUAGUGGGCCAUUUUUGGUAAGCAGAACUGGCGAUGCGGGAUGAACCGAACGCGAGGUUAAGGUGCCGGAAUGCACGCUCAUCAGACACCACAAAAGGUGUUAGUUCAUCUAGACAGCCCGACGGUGGCCAUGGAAGUCGGAAUCCGCUAAGGAGUGUGUAACAACUCACGGGCCGAAUGAACUAGCCCUGAAAAUGGAUGGCGCUCAAGCGUGCUA